rnacentral:antisense_RNA from 1 species
UUAUUAUUUUUUAUUGCUUCUUAACUAACAGUUACAAGUACCACCAUGUGUAAAAUAAAAUCAGUUUCAGGAUGACUUCAAGGCCCAAGUUUAUAACAUUGGCAGACUACAGGAGGUGGGAUGAGGCCUGCCAAAGCUAACAGCUAAUUUGGGGAAGUCUACUCUGACAACUUUGGUAAAAUUAACUAAACUCUCCUUAGUCUUUGUUUGCAGAAGUAGUAGUAGCUAGCUAACACAUUCUCAUUGCUUACCAUGUGCCCUUGACUGAGUUAAAUGUGUUAUAUGCAGACAACUGGGGUUGAAACAAGCUGCUACUCAUUAACAGGAUGACUUAACCAUAAAAAUCUUCAAUUUUCUCAUCUGGAAAAUGGGGAUAAUAAGCUCAUAUAAUCUCCUAGGGUUGCUGGGAGAAUUAAAUCAGAAGCUAUGAUAAUAAGGCAGACUGAUGCUUCUGGAGUGUAGCAGAUUGUAUUUUCUAAAAAUGGCCACAAGAAUGUGCUCUCCUAGAACCUUGCCCAUGCCCCCAUCAAGAAGUGGAUGGUUCUUUGUGACAGCCACAAUGAAUAGGAUGUGGUGGAGGUGGUACUGUGUGACUGGCUAAUAAAAGGUGAUAUGGCCUCUGUCUCUCUCCCUGUCCGUACUAUAGGAGUUCUGAACCAUCCUGUGACAAGUCUAGCUACCCUAAAGCUGUCAUGCAGGAGAGAUCAUGUGGAGAGAAGGAGAGUUAGACAGAGGAGGAGCCCCUGCUGUUUGAGUAUUCUCAGCCUAGACACCAGACAUGAGUGAGGAAGCAUUCAGGAAAAGACAGAAGCUGAUUGAGGUCCCAGCUUGGUAACAGUUUGAAGAGUUGCAGGACUGGCUGGAUGAGUACUGGCUGCAGCAAGUCAUGCUGCCAGGAUUCUUUAUGGCUGUUUCUGCUUCCACUACAGCUGAGUCAGAAAGGUCGCUGCCCAGUGGUGGCAGUAGAUGCAGUGGACCUGGCAAGCAAAUGUUUCCGCUAUUAGCUCUCAGCAACAGAGACUCAUUUAUGGUCACCUUGGAAAUCUGGGCUUAUCGAUCUACAGCCCAAGUCUGCUGAGAAGCUGGAGCUUACUAAAGGGGAAACCUGAGAGCUGUUCAAGCCCCAAACAUUUUCCACUUCUGCGUCACCUCUGCUGUCUGUUAGCAGAGUGGAGGAGAAAAUACACCAGCACAAACAACGUGAAAAAAUACUCUAUUCAUUAAAAGCUGUAACUUCCAGACUGGACUUGAGAAGCAAUUAAGCAACAGAGGCACCUCAUCUACUAUCUGUAUUCAGG